CAUUUUUUAAUUUAUGCUGUAGUAUAUUACACGCAUCUAUGAAAAUCAGGAGAAAACAUUAAUGAUUGUUACAGAAUCUUUCUUCUGUUCUCCAGGAGUGAAAUGUAAACAGAGAGGAGGGUCUACAGAGAUCUGACACAAUCUAAUCAAAUCAGACUGGAGUAGAAACAAUUCAGUCUUCCAGUGAACACACUGCACUGCACAAUGGAUGUAUUUUCAGUUUUUCUCUUCUAUAGUCUGGCAUCUGCUGUCUCUGGAAACAUCACACCAGAUGAAACAGAGCUUUCUGCUGAGGAGGGUUCAAAUGUUACAUUAUCCUGUAGUUAUUCUUCUGCAGAUUAUCUAUUCUGGUACCGUCAGUAUCCUGGAUCAGCUCCUGAACAUCUCGUGCUCAUCUUUGAUGGUUCAUCAAACACAAAAAAGUCUUAUGUAGAUCCAAGACUCUCAGUUAAACUCACUAACCGGGAACAAAAGCAUGUGGAUCUGAUCAUCUCCUCUGCUGCUGUAUCAGACUCUGCUCUGUAUUACUGUGCUCUGAGGCCCACAGUGACAGGAAACACAUCAGCUCUCUACAAAAACCCUUUACCAGAGAGAUUUGUUCAAAGCAAACGGCAUCAUGUGACAGCGAGCAGGAAGUUCCUGUUUGUCUUUAUGACCUUCAGGGUCUCAUACACAGUGCAGAAUAUUGACAGGCUCAAGAAAGACCUGAGCUGA